AUGGCGUCGGCGGCGUCCAAGUGCUGCUACUACGAGAUCCUCGGACUCUCCCGAGACUGCUCCCCGACCGACAUCAAGCUCGCGUUCCGGCGCCUCGCGCUUACCCUCCACCCCGACAAGCAGGCCCCGGGCUCCGACGUCGCCGCCGCCACCGCCGCCUUCCAGGAGCUGCAACACGCGCACUCCGUCCUCUCCGACCCCCAGGAGCGCGCCUACUACGACUCCCACCGCUCCCAGAUCCUCUUCGCCGACCCCGUCUCCUCCCGUUCCGGCACCGCCUCCGCCUCACCCGUCCCCGACCUAUUCUCCUUCUUCUCCACCUCCGCCUUUUCCGGCUUCUCUGACUCCGGCCGCGGAUUCUACAAGGUCUACGGCGACGUAUUCGACAAGGUAUACGCCCAGGAGGUCGCCUAUGCCCGCCGCAUGGGCAUCCCCACCGACUCCAUCUCCACGCCGCCGGUCAUUGGCAACCUCGACUCCCCUUACACCCAGGUCACCGCUUUCUACUCCUACUGGCUGGGUUUCGGCUCGGUUAUGGACUUCGGGUGGGCGGCCGAGUGGGACGCAUCCCGUGGGGAGAACCGCCGUGUUAGGAGGCUCAUGGAGGAGGAUAACAAGAAGGCAAUGCGCAAGGCGCGGCGGGAGUAUAACGAUGCUGUGAGAGGGUUGGCUGCCUUCUGUAAGAAGAGAGAUAAGAGGGUGGUUGACAUGGCACUGCGGAAGAAGGCAGAGGAAGAGAAAAAGAAGAAGGAAGAGAUGGAGCGAAAGAAGGCUGAGGAGAAGAAGAAGAAGGAGCGGGCAAUGGCGUAUCAAGAGCCUGAGUGGGCGAGGGUGGACGAGAUCGAGUUAGCCUUUGAGGAAGAGGAUGAUGAGGAGACGAGGGAAAAGGCCAAGGAGGAGCUGUACUGUGUUGCCUGUAAUAAGAAGUUCAAGUCGGAGAAGCAGUGGAAGAACCAUGAGCAGUCAAGGAAGCAUAAGGAUAAGGUGGCUGAUCUGAGGAUGGCCUUUAAGGAGGAGGAGGCUCUAAAGGAAGCCGAGGAGGAGGCAGGAGGUGAGUGGGAAGAAGUUGAUGUGGGGUUCGACUUCAAGCCUGCUAACGAGUCCGAGGAGAGUGAUUGGUCAGAUGCUGCAGAAGAGUUGGCUGAGGAGUUGGACGAGGGCUUGGAGGUGGCGGAUGAAGACAAUGGUAAUAAGGACUUCAAUAAUGGGGAGCAGGAGGUUGGUUCAUAUGAUGAGACAAGUGUGUUGGAGGCGAUGUUGUCAAGCCGUAAGAACAAGAAAAGUGGCUAUGUGGUUCCUCAAGAGGAAGCUCCUUCUGUUGUUACAGAGGAUGAUAACAGUGAAGAUAGAAAUUCUGAAGUUAAGAGUGUCAAGAAGAAAGGACGCCGGAGGCGGGCAUCAAAGAAGGGACAAGAUGAAGGUAGUUAUGCUGAUAGUGGACAUGGUAUGAAGAAUAAUGUUCCGUAUGAGGAAUCUGUGCAUGAUAAUGAUGAAAAUGAUGCUGAUGAUAAGGCGGAAGGUCCACCCACUUCUAAUGAUGACGGCACAUCAGCAAGCGUUGGAAGCCAACAGAACGAAAAGACUGACAAUCCUAAAAAGAACAAAAAGAACAAGAAAGGCGCAGAGAAGAAAACAACUGUUUCUGCUGACCUAAAGUUCACAUCAAAGGGAAAGAAGCAAAAGGAGGUUUCGAAGGCAAGCAAUGAUUGUGAAACAUGUGGAGAUACUUUUGAGUCAAGGAGCAAGUUGUUUUCUCAUUUGGAAGAAACAGGUCAUGCUGUGAUCAAGGCACGACAGAAAAAGCGUUAA
rnacentral:rRNA from 1 species